rnacentral:rRNA from 1 species
AAGCAUUAAGUGAGCCACCUGGGGAGUACGAUCGCAAGGUUGAAACUCAAAGGAAUUGACGGGGGCCCGCACAAGCGGAGGAACAUGUGGUUUAAUUCGAUGAUACGCGAGGAACCUUACCUGGGCUUAAAUGGGGAACGACAGCUGCCGAAAGGUGGCCUUCUUCGGACGUUCUUCAAGGUGCUGCAUGGUUGUCGUCAGCUCGUGCCGUGAGGUGUCGGGUUAAGUCCCAUAACGAGCGCAACCCUUAUCGUUAGUUGCCAGCGGGUCAUGCCGGGGACUCUAGCGAGGCUGCCACCGUAAGGUGUGAGGAAGGUGGGGAUGACGUCAAAUCAGCACGGCCCUUAUGUCCAGGGCUACACACGUGUUACAAUGGCCAAUACAAAGGGCAGCUACUUGGUGACAAGAUGCUAAUCUCUAAAGUUGGUCUCAGUUCGGAUCGAAGUCUGCAACCCGACUUCGUGAAGCUGGAUUCGCAUGUUACGCUGAUAUCAGCCAUGAUGCGGUGAAUACGUUCGCUCCCGGGCUGUAUCAUAUGGCAUUCAAAGGGGAGGCAGCAGUGAGGAAUAUUGGUCAAUGGGCGCAAGCCUGAACCAGCCAUCCCGCGUGAAGGAUGACGGCCCUAUGGGUUGUAAACUUCUUUUAUACACCAAGAAAAAGCAGGACGUGUCCUGCCCCGACGGUAGUGUAUGAAUAAGCAUCGGCUAACUCCGUGCCAGCAGCCGCGGUAAUACGGAGGAUGCAAGCGUUAUCCGGAUUCAUUGGGUUUAAAGGGUGCGUAGGCGGCUUUUUAAGUCAGUGGUGAAAUCCUGCCGCUUAACGGUAGAAUUGCCAUUGAUACUGAAAAGCUUGAGUACAAUUGAGGUAAGCGGAAUGUGUAGUGUAGCGGUGAAAUGCUUAGAUAUUACACAGAACACCAAUUGCGAAGGCAGCUUACUAACUGUUACUGACGCUGAUG